rnacentral:rRNA from 1 species
AGUGAACGCUGGCGGUAGGCCUAACACAUGCAAGUCGAACGGCAGCACAGUAAGAGCUUGCUCUUACGGGUGGCGAGUGGCGGACGGGUGAGGAAUACAUCGGAAUCUACUUUUUCGUGGGGGAUAACAUAGGGAAACUUACGCUAAUACCGCAUACGACCUACGGGUGAAAGCAGGGGAUCUUCGGACCUUGCGCGAUUGAAUGAGCCGAUGUCGGAUUAGCUAGUUGGCGGGGUAAAGGCCCACCAAGGCGACGAUCCGUAGCUGGUCUGAGAGGAUGAUCAGCCACACUGGAACUGAGACACGGUCCAGACUCCUACGGGAGGCAGCAGUGGGGAAUAUUGGACAAUGGGCGCAAGUCUGAUCCAGCCAUACCGCGUGGGUGAAGAAGGCCUUCGGGUUGUAAAGCCCUUUUGUUGGGAAAGAAAAGCAGCAGGUUAAUACCCCGCUGUUCUGACGGUACCCAAAGAAUAAGCACCGGCUAACUUCGUG